CGAGCGCAUGAGUUGUGCUGGACCUGUGACUACCGGUUGUUCCCCCGCUGUUGUGCGGCCGACUGCCGGUGCCAGUGUCCCUUAUAUCGUUGGCUAAUCUGUCCGGAUCGUUUUGGCGAGUGCUUGCGUGCUGCUACCAGAAACACUGGAAGUUGCAUUGCUAAAUGUUGUUUUGCCGUGCAUGCCUUAAGGGCAUGUCACGUCAACUACAAAGCGCUCAUGGCGUUGCCUCGUGUAGCUGGCUGCAUAGUCAAGCGACAUCAAGGCCACCUCAUGGACGCUAUUGGUCUCGGAUGCGGCCCGCUAUAAAGGCUGAAGGCGCAUUGGCACCUCAUGCCUACAAAAUAUUGUCCGUUCGGAAACUACGACCAGUUGGCUAGCUGAUGCCUUGUGCGGAGUCUAGUGCU
rnacentral:misc_RNA from 1 species